CCUACGGGCGGCAGCAGUGGGGAAUAUUGGGCAAUGGGCGCAAGCCUGACCCAGCAACGCCGCGUGAACGAAGAAGGCCCUCGGUUUGUAAACUUCUUUUGUCAGGGACGAAACAAAUGACGGUACCUUACGAAUAAGCCACUGCUAACUUCUGGCCAGCAGCCGCGGUAAUACGUAGGUGGCAAGCGUUAUCCGGAUUUACUGGGUGUAAAGGGCGUGUAGGCGGGAGAGCAAGUCAGAUGUGAAAUUCCAGGGCUCAACCCUGGAACUGCAUUUGAAACUGUUUUUCUUGAGUGAUGGAGAGGCAGGCGGAAUUCCGUGUGUAGCGGUGAAAUGCGUAGAUAUAAGGAGGAACACCAGUGGCGAAGGCGGCCUGCUGGACAUUAACUGACGCUGAGGCGCGAAAGCGUGGGGAGCAAACAGGAUUAGAUACCCCAGUAGUC
rnacentral:rRNA from 1 species